CAUAUUUAUACCUCUGUGAUUAUGGUAUAUUUCCUUAAUUAUCUGAAAUGUCUGCUAGCAAACAUUACGCUAGCGUAGAAACAAAACUAUAGCAUAAUUGAUUUGAGCUCUUAUUAAUGAAAGUUUGGGCUUUUAAUGACAUCUUAUGCCUAAAGGAGCAGUUUUGAUAGCUUUGUAAAAACAAAAGUCUUGAACUCUGUAAAGACGCUAAAACCAUUUUUUAAUAUUAUUGUUUUUUACUAGCCGUUGAGAGUUACCAUGGCAACCGCGGACACAUCAGCUGCUAGAGAGGAGAGGACGCGUCUGACUCUUUCUCUGUUUCUAGUCAUUUAUACCAAAGAAAAGUUCAACAACUGCGACAGAUCGUUUGUUUAUUUCUAAUAAGGAGCUGGAGGCCGUGGAGAAGCAGAUCCGUGACCUCGUGGAGAAGCAGGCUCAGCUGAGAGAGCGGAGAGCCGUGAUGGAAACAUUCAGGGGUUGAUGCUCAUAAGUCCGGUGUAAGUAUACAGCACGCUGCUAACUCUCCCACCACCUCUACUCUGUGUGGUUCUCUGCACAGGCCCGGUGUACCCAGGACACAAUCUUCCCAGAUGUCCUUCACCCCGUGCCACAGCGUAAGACAUGAGCCAGGUCCUGGGCGACAACCUCUCUCCCCCCGCCGCCUCCUGUCUUCAGGAACUCCACUGGAAACCGAUUUGCUCCACUUCACGAGACAGAACACGACUCUGUGUUCAUCAGAGACUCCAUUAUCCGGCACGUUCGUGCUAUGUUAGCUGAAGGUAAUGUGCACACUCACUGUUUCCCUGGUGCUCGUGUUCUUGAUAUUUCUGCGCAGAUACCCGUGAUCCUGAAGGGUGACGAGAGCAUCGGAGCGGUCGUGCUUCACACCGGGGUUAACGAUACCAAGCUGCGGCAGACGCAGACACUAAAGAGGGACUUCAGGAGCCUGAUCGAGACGGUGCGCAGCAUAUCGCCUGCACGAUGAUCAUCAUCUCAGCACCUCUUCUCAUGUAUAGAUGAGGACACGAAAGGCUUUUUCGCGCUGAUGGCCUGCACCCCAGCAGA